ACUAGGAUCAUUGCCGAGUUAUGUUUUUCUAAACUACCUUCGAAAAACCAAACGAGAUAACCACUUUGUAUACAUUCAUGCAAGAAUCAUUACAAAGUUAAAUCUCAUUUUCAAAACAUUUUUCACACAGUUCUCAACCACCUUUUCAAACUAGAAAACAUGAAUGAUUGAGCAAUUAAGAGCCCAUGGAUAACCAUGGAUACAAAGGGU
rnacentral:lncRNA from 1 species